UCCGCUGUGCUGAGACAUUGA
rnacentral:siRNA from 1 species